CUACGGGAUUCGUGGACAUUGGCUACGUAGUUCAAUGUGCACGUUUUGUGCACAUAAAAGCGCUAGCCCACAGAAACACGUAAAAUGCGGGCAUGUCCACUCUGCUGGUAGUAUCCUCUCCAUUCAGCUACUUGCUUCUUGCGUCUCAAACAGUCUCAAAUCUGACUAUGGCUUAGUUUACACCGAUUGUUUAGUACGCGUACCAAAUACUAAAUCUGCUUCUGCGAUAGCCGUGCGGGAAGGGUGCAUUAUCAAGUUAUUAAGAAGAAGAAUAAAUAUGGCCGCAAGGAGGAGCUUUCUGGUGCCAUUACACAUCUACUAAAAUGCUAAAAAAAUACAUUUCACAUGUAAAAAAUUUUAAAUGAGGAGGACGUUGUGAAAAUGACCAUGAGAAUAGACGUGAGAAUAGCCAUGGCAGUAGCUAUGAUGGUGCUGGAAGUAGUACCAAGUUUUUGUAAAGAAGGUUCUCUAUAAAGACAAUAAAGUAAUGGUUGAGGAAGACAAGGAAAAAGUGGUUUUAAAACUGAAAAGAAUGUAAUAAUAAAACCACAGUGUCAAAGAGGAUUACUCAUAGCUGAAGGAAGAUGCUUUAAUGACUUCAAGUUUAGUAUUUGGAAUAUCAGUAUAUGGAAAAAAAGAGAAUCGACAGUGAGGUUCUGCAUCAGGAAUCAACACUAUAUCCCAUAUUGCAGAUGAAGGGAUUGUGUUUGCAGUGGAAUUUUCUUAUAGAAGAGUCAGAGAUCUUAGAGACAUUGCUAACAGAAGGAGUAACAUUCUUAUAGUUGGAGAUGCAAGACACUCUUGUAAAUACAGAAUGCUAAUAGGAAUGACGAAAUCUAAAUAUAAACCGACUUGCAACACCUAAAACAGUAUUUGCAGUAGAAGUAAAGAAACAAAAAGCUGACAAUUUGAAACAGCAGAAACAAAUCAUGGAUCCAUAUGAUAGAAAUCACAUUAUUGUGGCUGGUCUACAAGGUGCUGAAAAAAGCUGCUUAAAAUUAUUUAUAUAAAUAUGUAUAAAUAUAUAUAAAUGUUAAUUGCUAAAUU